GAUGAACGCUGGCGGCGUGCCUAACACAUGCAAGUCGAACGGAGGCCCGCCUUUAAGACCUUCGGGUCAAAGAGGGGAAGCCUGAGUGGCGGACGGGUGAGUCACACGUGGGCAACCUGGCUCAUAGAGGGGGAUAACGGAGAGAAAUUUCUGCUAAUACCGAAUAAGCACAUCCUGACGCAUGGCAGAGGGUGAAAUGAGAAUCGCUAUGAGAUGGACCCGCGUCUGAUUAGCCAGUUGGCAGGGUAAGAGCCUACCAAAGCGACGAUCAGUAGCCGAUCUGAGAGACUGAACGGCCACAUUGGGACUGAGACACGGCCCAAACUCCUACGGGAGGCAGCAGUGGGGGAUAUUGCACAAUGGGGGGAACCCUGAUGCAGCGACGCCGCGUGAGUGAAGAAGUAUUUCGGGAUGUAAAGCUCUAUCAGCAGGGAAGAUAAUGACAGUACCUGAAUAAGAAGCCCCGGCUAACUACGUG
rnacentral:rRNA from 1 species